rnacentral:rRNA from 1 species
CCUACGGGGGGCUGCAGUGGGGAAUAUUGCGCAAUGGGCGAAAGCCUGACGCAGCGACGCCGCGUGAGGGAUGAAGGUAUUCGGAUCGUAAACCUCUGUCAGCAGGGAAGAACGGUCACUGUGCUAAUCAGCAGUGAAUUGACGGUACCUGCAAAGGAAGCACCGGCUAACUCCGUGCCAGCAGCGGCGGUAAUACGGAGGGUGCGAGCGUUAAUCGGAAUUACUGGGCGUAAAGCGCUCGUAGGCGGUAUGUCAAGUCAAGGGGUAAAUCCCCGCGGUCAACGUGGGAACUGCCUUUGAAACUGGCAAACUGGAGUGUGUGAGAGGAUAGUGGAAUUCCAGGUGUAGGAGUGAAAUCCGUAGAUAUCUGGAGGAACAUCAGUGGCGAAGGCGACUAUCUGGCACAUAACUGACGCUGAGGAGCGAAAGCGUGGGUAGCAAACAGGAUUAGAUACCCCAGUAGUC